UACGGGGGGGCAAGCGUUGUUCGGAAUUACUGGGCGUAAAGGGCUCGUAGGCGGCCAACUAAGUCAUACGUGAAAUCCCUCGGCUUAACCGGGGAACUGCGUCUGAUACUGGAUGGCUUGAGUUCGGGAGAGGGAUGCGGAAUUCCAGGUGUAGCGGUGAAAUGCGUAGAUAUCUGGAGGAACACCGGUGGCGAAAGGCGGCAUCCUGGACCGAUGACUGACGCU
rnacentral:rRNA from 1 species